AUACGGAGGGAGCGAGCGUUAAUCGGAAUUACUGGGCGUAAAGCGCGCGUAGGUGGCUCUUUAAGUCGGAUGUGAAAGCCCUGGGCUCAACCUGGGAAUUGCAUUCGAUACUGCAGAGCUAGAGUAUGGUAGAGGGAAGUGGAAUUUCCGGUGUAGCGGUGAAAUGCGUAGAUAUCGGAAGGAACACCAGUGGCGAAGGCGACUUCCUGGGCCAAUACUGACGCUGAGGUGCGAAAGCGUGGGGAGCAAACAGGAUUAGAAACCCCAGUAGUCC
rnacentral:rRNA from 1 species